rnacentral:tRNA from 1 species
UUCUUUUGUAGGUUAUUUAAUUAAACCUUCGAUUUGUGGUGUCGAAAAAUCUUGUUUUAGGCAAAAGAAG